GAUGAACGCUGGCGGCGUGCCUAAUACAUGCAAGUCGAGCGAACAGACGAGGAGCUUGCUCCUCUGACGUUAGCGGCGGACGGGUGAGUAACACGUGGAUAACCUACUUAUAAGACUGGGAUCACUUCGGGAAACCGGAGCUUAUACCGGAUAAUAUAUUCAACCGCUUGGUUCAAUAGUGAAAGACGGUUUUGCUGUCACUUAUAGAUGGAUCCGCUCCGCAUGAGCUAGUUGGUAAGGUAACGGCGUACUAAGGCAACGAUGCGUAGCCGACCUGAGAGGGUGAUCGGCCGGACUGGAGCUGAGACACGGUGCUGACGCCUAGGGUAGGACGCGGUGGGGAAGUGUGCGCAAUGGGAGAAAGCCUGACGGAGCAACGCCGCGUGGGUGAUGAGGGUCUGCAGAUCGUAAAGCUCUGUUAUUAGGGAAGACCAAAUGUAGAAGUAACUAUGCACGUCUUGACGGUACCUGAUCAGAAAGCCACGGCUAACUACGUG
rnacentral:rRNA from 1 species